AUUGAACGCUGGCGGCAGGCCUAACACAUGCAAGUCGAGCGAGCGGCGGACGGGUGAGUAAUGUCUGGGAAACUGCCUGAUGGAGGGGGAUCACUACUGGAAACGGUAGCUAAUACCGCAUACCAUCAGAUGUGCCCAGAUGGGAUUAGCUAGUAGGUUGGGUAACGGCUCCCCUAGGCGACGAUCCCUAGCUGGUCUGAGAGGAUGACCAGCCACACGGGAAAUGAGACACGGUCCAGACGCCUACGGGAGGCAGCAGUGGGGAAUAUGGCACAAUGGGCGAAAGCCUGAUGCAGCCAUGCCGCGUGUAUGAAGAAGGCCUUCGGGUUGUAAAGCACUUUCAGCGGGGAGGCGUUACCCGCAGAAGAAGCACCGGCUAAAUCCGUGCCAGCAGCCGCGGUAAGAC
rnacentral:rRNA from 1 species